rnacentral:rRNA from 1 species
AGGGUUUGAUCAUGGCUCAGGAUGAACGCUAGCGACAGGCUUAACACAUGCAAGUCGAGGGGCAUCGCGGCGGUAGCAAUACCGCCGGCGGCGACCGGCGCACGGGUGAGUAACGCGUAUGCAACCUGCCCCUUGCAGGGGAAUAACCGGGAGAAAUUCCGACUAAUACCGCAUACGUCACGUGGAGGCAUCUCCGGGUGAUGAAAGAAAUUCGGCAAGGGAUGGGCAUGCGUGAUAUUAGGUAGUUGGUGGGGUAACGGCCCACCAAGCCGACGAUAUCUAGGGGUUCUGAGAGGAAGGUCCCCCACAUUGGUACUGAGACACGGACCAA